rnacentral:piRNA from 1 species
GGGUUUUUCAGUUCCCAGUGGGCAGC